rnacentral:rRNA from 1 species
AGUGAACGCUGGCGGUAGGCCUAACACAUGCCAGUCGAACGGCAGCACAGUAAGAGCUUGCUCUUACGGGUGGCGAGUGGCGGACGGGUGAGGAAUACAUCGGAAUCUACUUUUUCGUGGGGGAUAACGUAGGGAAACUUACGCUAAUACCGCAUACGACCUACGGGUGAAAGCAGGGGAUCUUCGGACCUUGCGCGAUUGAAUGAGCCGAUGUCGGAUUAGCUAGUUGGCGGGGUAAAGGCCCACCAAGGCGACGAUCCGUAGCUGGUCUGAGAGGAUGAUCAGCCACACUGGAACUGAGACACGGUACAGACUCCUACGGGAGGCAGCAGUGGGGAAUAUUGGACAAUGGGCGCGAGCCUGAUCCAGCCAUACCGCGUGGGUGAAGAAGGCCUUCGGGUUGUAAAGCCCUUUUGUUGGGAAAGAAAAGCAGCAGGUUAAUACCCCGCUGUUCUGACGGUACCCAAAGAAUAAGCACCGGCUAACUUCGUG